rnacentral:rRNA from 1 species
AAUGAACGCUGGCGGCGUGCUUAACACAUGCAAGUCGUGCGCGAAGGCGGCUUCGGCUGCCGGAGAGCGGCGAACGGGUGAGUAACACGUGGGUAAUCUGCCUGGGAGUGGGGGAUAACCUGGGGAAACCCGGGCUAACACCGCAUACGACGUCGGGUUUACGGACCUGAUUUGAAAGCUGGCCUCUGUUUACAAGCUAGCGCUCCCAGAGGAGCCCGCGGCUGAUUAGCUAGUUGGUGGGGUAAAGGCCUACCAAGGCGACGAUCAGUAGCCGGCCUGAGAGGGUGAUCGGCCACACUGGAACUGAGACACGGUCCAGACUCCUACGGGAGGCAGCAGUGGGGAAUAUUGGACAAUGGGCGCAAGCCUGAUCCAGCAACGCCGCGUGGAGGACGAAGGUCUUCGGAUCGUAAAACUCCUGUCAGACGGGAACGAAGGUAAGUGGGUGAACAAUCCGCUUGCUUGGCGGUACUGUCAGAGGAAGCCCCGGCUAACUCCGUGCCAGCAGCCGCGGUAAUACGGAGGGGGCCGAGCGUUAUUCGGAAUUAUUGGGCGUAAAGGGCGCGUAGGCGGCUUGAUAAGUCAAAGGUGAAAAUCCCUCGGCUCAACUGAGGAACUGCCUUUGAAAACUGUCUGGCUUGAGGCCGGGAGGGGGUAGCGGAAUUCCCAGUGUAGCGUG